rnacentral:rRNA from 1 species
CCUACGGGAGGCAGCAGUGGGGAAUUUUGGACAACGGGGGCAACCCUGAUCCAGCCAUGCCGCGUGCGGGAAGAAGGCCUUCGGGUUGUAAACCGCUUUCAGCCGGAAAGAAAUCGCUAUUCCUAAUACGAGUAGUGGAUGACGGUACCGGAAGAAGAAGCACCGGCUAACUACGUGCCAGCAGCCGCGGUAAUACGUAGGGUGCGAGCGUUAAUCGGAAUUACUGGGCGUAAAGCGUGCGCAGGCGGCCUUAAAAGUCAGAUGUGAAAUCCCCGAGCUCAACUUGGGAACUGCGUUUGAAACUCUAAGGCUAGAAUAUGUCAGAGGGGGGUAGAAUUCCACGUGUAGCAGUGAAAUGCGUAGAGAUGUGGAGGAAUACCAAUGGCGAAGGCAGCCCCCUGGGAUAAUAUUGACGCUCAUGCACGAAAGCGUGGGGAGCAAACAGGAUUAGAUACCCUGGUAGUCCACGCCCUAAACGAUGUCUACUAGUUGUUGGUGGAGUAAAAUCCAUGAGUAACGCAGCUAACGCGUGAAGUAGACCGCCUGGGGAGUACGGUCGCAAGAUUAAAACUCAAAUGAAUUGACGGGGGCCCGCACAAGCGGUGGAUUAUGUGGAUUAAUUCGAUGCAACGCGAAAAACCUUACCUGGCCUUGACAUGUACCGAAUUUACCAGAGAUGGUUUAGUGCUCGAAAGAGAACGGUAACACAGGUGCUGCAUGGCUGUCGUCAGCUCGUGUCGUGAGAUGUUGGGUUAAGUCCCGCAACGAGCGCAACCCUUGCCAUUAAUUGCCAUCAUUUAGUUGGGCACUUUAAUGGGACUGCCGGUGACAAACCGGAGGAAGGUGGGGAUGACGUCAAGUCCUCAUGGCCCUUAUGGCCAGGGCUUCACACGUAAUACAAUGGUCGGUACAGAGGGUUGCCAACCCGCGAGGGGGAGCCAAUCCCAGAAAGCCGAUCGUAGUCCGGAUUGUAGUCUGCAACUCGACUACAUGAAGUCGGAAUCGCUAGUAAUCGCGGAUCAGCAUGUCGCGGUGAAUACGUUCCCGGGCCUUGUACACACCGCCCGU